CAGGGAGACAAUAAAUAGAUUGUAUUGUNUAAUUUAUUUAUUCUUAGGCUGCAAUCCUGUCACCUUAAGGUCGAUCGGNACCUCAAGUUUUUGAAUUAGUUUCACAAUUAAUUCUUUGAUUUCAGGUCCUAAACUUGUCUAGGUCACACCCAACAAAGGUUUCUCCUGGGNCAUUAGGUCAGGUGGUUAGAGNGCACCCCUGAUAAGGGUGAGGNCCCUGGUUCAAGUCCAGGAUGGCCCAUUCUUUGUUGGGGGUAUANCUCAGUUGGNAGAGCGCCUGCUUUGCAAGCAGGAUGUCNGCGGUUCGAGUCCGCUUACCUCCACUGAAAACUAUCCUGAUAACUAAAUUUCGGANAAAAAUUUGUAGAAGUGGCUUAGAAUUGUCUGUCUGAAAAGAACCUANNUUCUUGUCAUCUUUUUAUAGCUGAUAACAUGCUGGGCUCGCAUGGAUUAAUUCCANGAGAAUUCACAGAACCUUGAAAACUGCAUAGAUUAGAAAGAAUAAAGCAUCCCAUGGAUGCAUAAUUCUGGGUUUAUAAUUUACCCUUAAAACUAAAUUACUUUANUUCCANAAUUCAUGUUUAAUUCUUGAGUAAAAGCCGAGCACAAUUUGAUUUUGUGAUUGUAUUUAA
rnacentral:tRNA from 1 species